GAUGAACGCUGGCGGCGUGCCUAAUACAUGCAAGUCGAGCGAAUUGACAGAGGUGCUUGCACCUCUCGAUUUUAGCGGCGGACGGGUGAGUAACACGUGGGUAACCUACCUAUAAGACUGGGAUAACUUCGGGAAACCGGAGCUAAUACCGGAUAAUAUUUAGCUUCGCAUGAAGCAAUAGUGAAAGACGGUUCUGCUGUCACUUAUAGAUGGACCUGCGGUGUAUUAGCUAGUUGGUGAGGUAACGGCUCACCAAGGCAACGAUACACAGCCGACCUGAGAGGGUGAUCGGCCACACUGGGACGGAGACACGGCCCAGACUCCUACGGGAGGCAGCAGUAGGGAAUCUUCCGAAAUGGACGAAAGUCUGACGGAGCAACGCCGCGUGAGUGAAGAAGGUUUUCGGAUCGUAAAACUCUGUUGUAAGGGAAGAACAAGUACGUUAGUAACUGAACGUACCUUGACGGUACCUUACCAGAAAGCCACGGCUAACUACGUGCCAGCAGCCGCAGUAACAC
rnacentral:rRNA from 1 species